rnacentral:rRNA from 1 species
AUACGGAGGGUGCAAGCGUUAAUCGGAAUUACUGGGCGUAAAGCGCGCGUAGGCGGAUUGUUAAGUCUCAUGUGAAAGCCCUGGGCUCAACCUGGGAACUGCAUGGGAUACUGGCAAUCUAGAAUACAGUAGAGGGUAGUGGAAUUUCAGGUGUAGCGGUGAAAUGCGUAGAGAUCUGAAGGAACAUCAGUGGCGAAGGCGACUACCUGGACUGAUAUUGACGCUGAGGUGCGAAAGCGUGGGGAGCAAACGGGAUUAGAAACCCCUGUAGUCCC